CUCGAUUCUUUAGGUGUUUUUUCUUUACAACAAAAGUUGCAGUCACUGACAAUCUUGAAGUUGCUCAUUUGUUCCAAACUGCUCCUUUUUUGUUCAAAAUGAAGGGCAAUUUAUGUACUAGAGGUUGUGCCUGUCAUUGGUGCAAUUUAUGUUAUCCUUUUUUAAUUAGCUCCUGAUUUUUUCCUUAGUUUAAUUAUUAAUUUGAUCUAUUGUUAGGUUUCUAAGACAUUUGGAGAGG
rnacentral:misc_RNA from 1 species